GUUCUGCGGGGCUAUGCGUAGCGUUCCCUCGUUCCUCUCCGGCGGUAGUUACUCUCAUGGGUACUCCGGAAAUUCCUCGGGGUCCUCUCGGCACCUUGCUAUCUGUGGAUAAAUGACCUGGCAGGCCCCUUCCCCCUGUCAUUGUGCAAUGCGUCCUCUCUGAGCAAAGGGGAUGGGAACUCUGCUCUUAUUAGUCUCUCUGCGAUGGUCCUGUCUUUCCUCCAUGCUAUCAUGGGGGGAGGUCCUUUUACCCUGGCCUCCCAUGGUGUGUCCCUGGCCUUCUCUUGUGUCCAUUCCCAGAUUCUGUUGAUCGACUCGCGCAGCUGAUUUGCUAUGUUCUGGGAAUAAAGCAUGGGGAAAAUUAAUCUGUUUAAUUCACCUUUCUGUUUCACGUCUAGGAGUGUAUCUCUUGGGAUAUCUUCUAGUCUUGCCAUUGCCGCAUUGAGGAUCUUCUCGCUGUAUCCUCGCGCUCUGAAAAAACCUACCAUUUCCUUCAGUGCCUUCUCCAGGUGUUCAGGGGUGCUUACAAUCCUUUUAACCCUGAUUCCUUGUGAGAAAGGGAGGCUUUUCUUUAGAUUUGGGUGGUGGCUCGACUGGAAGUGUAAAUAUUGAUCCGGGUGGAACUGGUUGAGGUCUCUGUAGUAUUCUUGAAGUUCUUCCUCUGUGCCCUGGAACACUCCAAAUAUAUCAUCAAUAUAUCUAUAAAAUAAGAGCGGUUGUUUUUUCAUUUUCUUCCUUUUAGGUUCUAUACUCACAUGUACAAAAAUCUCUGCCACUGCCACUGAUACUGAGGCUCCUAUUGCCGUACCUUUCAUUUGUUGGUAGUACUUAUUAUCGAACCUCAGUAAUGUCCCGGUAAGGAUGUGCUCAAUGCCUUCCUGUAUUAGGUAUGGGGGAGGGGCCUUUAUAUUGUACAUGUCUUUCAACCGACCUUGUAUGUACCCAAAAUUCUUUUCAUAAAAAUUCGCCACUACCCAGGCUGCCUCUUCCUGUGGGAUAGAAGGAUAUAAAGACACAAU